GAGCUCUUCUAUACCUAUUUCUUUAAUUUCCUUAUGUCCCUUUUUUAUCACUAAAUCAACUUCUGCAGGCGUUUAGAAUAAACUUUUGGUAAGGGUUUCUGAUCUUUUUUUUUCAAUAGGAGCAACAGUAGGGAUGACAGAGAAAAUGUUGGAGUGAGAGAUGAAAGAGAAAGGAUUGAGAGGAAUGAGGGAGAUGAGUAAGGGUUUGGGGGUUUCUUUUUUUUUUUUUUAGUUUUGAGAAUGAAAAUUAUUUAAAUAUCCUUGACCUUAAAACUUAGAAUCCAUGAUAAAUGAGGGUAUUUUUGUCUACUAUAAUCCGAUACACAUUGUUAAAACGUACCAACUGAAAAACAGGCGUACGCAUGUUAAC
rnacentral:lncRNA from 1 species